UACGGAGGGGGCUAGCGUUGUUCGGAAUUACUGGGCGUAAAGCGCACGUAGGCGGAACAGACAGUCAGAGGUGAAAUCCCAGGGCUCAACCUUGGAACUGCCUUUGAAACUCCUGUUCUUGAGGUCGAGAGAGGUGAGUGGAAUUCCGAGUGUAGAGGUGAAAUUCGUAGAUAUUCGGAGGAACACCAGUGGCGAAGGCGGCUCACUGGCUCGAUACUGACGCUGAGGUGCGAAAGCGUGGGGAGCAAACAGG
rnacentral:rRNA from 1 species